GGGGGCGACUGGCUUCGACGGGUCGCGUGAUGUUGUCGUGGCGUGUCCAGGUUCUCGGUGUCCUGGUUAAACCCGCCGGGAAACACUCAAUUGCCAAUACUGAUCUGGCAUUGGCUGCUUAAGCUUUAGGGCUUAACGCACCUGCUCACGUUGCAGCCCGCCUGAGGCGGCGCGUGAGUAUCGCAAAUUCGGGCUGCUGCCGCACGUUGCUUCCGAGUGUGGCUCAAGCUUCAGGGAGCUUGUUCGGCGGCUUGGCCGGUCGUGCGCCGUCCGCCGGAGACCUCAAGCGCGACCUACGCACGUAGAGCGGCUUCGGAUCGAGGUUCGGACCGGGGUUCGAUUCCCCGCGCCUCCAU
rnacentral:tmRNA from 1 species